rnacentral:rRNA from 1 species
AACGAACGCUGGCGGCAUGCCUAACACAUGCAAGUCGAACGAGACCUUCGGGUCUAGUUGCGCACGGGUGCGUAACGCGUGGGAACCUGCCCUUAGGUUCGGAAUAACUCCCCGAAAGGGGUGCUAAUACCGGAUAAUGUCUUCGGACCAAAGAUUUAUCGCCUUUGGAUGGGCCCGCGUUGGAUUAGCUAGUUGGUAGGGUAAAAGCCUACCAAGGCGACGAUGCAUAGCUGGUCUGAGAGGAUGAUCAGCCACACUGGGACUGAGACACGGCCCAGACUCCUACGGGAGGGAGCAGUGGGGAAUAUUGGACAAUGGGCGAAAGCCUGAUCCAGCAAUGCCGCGUGAGUGAUGAAGGCCUUAGGGUUGUAAAGCUCUUUUACCCGGGAUGAUAAUGACAGUACCGGGAGAAUAAGCUCCGGCUAACUCCGUG